rnacentral:tRNA from 1 species
AAGGAGAUGACAGAUUGGUAAUGUGACUAACUUGAAAUUAGUGUAAGGGGUUCGAUUCCUUUUUUUCUUG